rnacentral:rRNA from 1 species
GAUGAACGCUAGCGGCAGGCUUAAUACAUGCAAGUCGAGGGGCAGCGGGUGUAGCAAUACAUGCCGGCGACCGGCGCACGGGUGAGUAACGCGUAUGCAACCUGCCUCUAACUGGGGAAUAGCUCUGAGAAAUUGGAAUUAAUGCCCCAUAAUAUUCUACCAAGACAUCUUGGAAGAAUUAAAGCUCCGGCGGUUAGAGAUGGGCAUGCGUGCUAUUAGUUAGUUGGUGAGGUAACGGCUCACCAAGACUAUGAUGGCUAGGGGGUCUGGAGAGGAUGAUCCCCCACAUUGGUACUGAGACACGGACCAGACUCCUACGGGAGGCAGCAGUGAGGAAUAUUGGUCAAUGGGCGCAAGCCUGAACCAGCCAUGCCGCGUGAAGGAUGAAGGCCCUAUGGGUCGUAAACUUCUUUUGUACGGGACGAAACCCCAGAACGUGUUCUGGGCUGACGGUACUGUACGAAUAAGCAUCGGCUAACUCCGUGCC